GCGGGUGUAGUUUAGUGGUAAAACCUCAGCCUUCCAAGCUGAUGAUGGGGUUCGAUUCCCCCACCCGCUCCA
rnacentral:tRNA from 1 species